AGUGAACGCUGGCGGUAGGCCUAACACAUGCAAGUCGAACGGCAGCACACUAAGAGCUUGCUCUUACGGGUGGCGAGUGGCGGACGGGUGAGGAAUACAUCGGAAUCUACUUUUUCGUGGGGGAUAACGUAGGGAAACUUACGCUAAUACCGCAUACGACCUACGGGUGAAAGCAGGGGAUCUUCGGACCUUGCGCGAUUGAAUGAGCCGAUGUCGGAUUAGCUAGUUGGCGGGGUAAAGGCCCACCAAGGCGACGAUCCGUAGCUGGUCUGAGAGGAUGAUCAGCCACACUGGAACUGAGACACGGUCCAGACUCCUACGGGAGGCAGCAGUGGGGAAUAUUGGACAAUGGGCGCAAGCCUGAUCCAGCCAUACCGCGUGGGUGAAGAAGGCCUUCGGGUUGUAAAGCCCUUUUGUUGGGAAAGAAAAGCAGCAGGUUAAUACCCCGCUGUCCUGACGGUACCCAAAGAAUAAGCACCGGCUAACUUCGUG
rnacentral:rRNA from 1 species